rnacentral:rRNA from 1 species
UGGAGAGUUUGAUCCUGGCUCAGGACGAACGCUGGCGGCGUGCCUAAUACAUGCAAGUCGAGCGAGGGUCUUCGGACCCUAGCGGCGGACGGGUGAGUAACACGUAGGCAACCUGCCUGUAAGACUGGGAUAACAUAGGGAAACUUAUGCUAAUACCGGAUAGGGUUUUGCUUCGCCUGAAGCGAAACGGAAAGAUGGCGCAAGCUAUCACUUACAGAUGGGCCUGCGGCGCAUUAGCUAGUUGGUGAGGUAACGGCUCACCAAGGCGACGAUGCGUAGCCGACCUGAGAGGGUGACCGGCCACACUGGGACUGAGACACGGCCCAGACUCCUACGGGAGGCAGCAGUAGGGAAUUUUCCACAAUGGACGAAAGUCUGAUG